GUUGGGCAUGGGGCUUCAUGGUGAACCCAAGGCAUGCAGGAGGCCCUGGGUUUAAUGGCUAGAGAGCAUACUCUAGCAGAAGAGGAAGAGGGGGAGGAGGAAGAGAGGAAGUGGAAGGAGGAGAGGGAGGAGGAGGAAGGCGACAGAAAGAAAUGAAUUGGGGCAUUGGUUGAUGCUCACCUAUACUGACUAGCAGAUGAUGAGUAACUCAGAGGAACCCUUAAAGAUGCUUUGCCUACUGACAACAGGAAGCAGUCUGGAGAACAUGAUGCCCACAUUCCCAAGAGAUGGGCCCAGGCAGGACCCCCAUCAACCACAGAGGCAGAUAACAGAUUUAUUCCAGAAUGACCCCAACAGAACCUUCAGAUUCUCCUCCAUCCACCAUGACAACCCCUCAAAGAGCAUCGCACCUCUACCCAUGUGGUUUCUUUGCCUUCCUGCCUUUUGCCUGUAGGACCUAGAAGGGAAACCCACAGCCUCCGGCAGAGCCAGCUCUGAACAGGGAAGACAUGCAUGAACCUCACAUGGAGACCAAGAUCAGCGCGCACAAAAUAGAGGUCGUUCUGUGUGAGAUCUGAAUUGCUGGCUUACACAAUGCACAUAACUGGGUUCCACUUAAGCAGGGUGAGUAACCCCAAAAUCUUAACCUUUUGAUGAUUUGGCAGGGAAUGACCCUUGAGUUUGAUGAAGAGUCCAUGGCUUUGCAUGGGCAAGACCUUGUUUUGUUGACAGACUAGAAGUAGCCACCUUGCCUCUCCAGAUUUCACAGCAUCUCUUCUACAGACCUACCAGUCAGUGACCUCUGCACCAUCCACCUAAUUCAUCUCAGAUUUUUGAGGGCACCAUUUUGAAUGUAUGCUCCCCAGAAUCUCCUGGGAAUGCAGAAG